CUUUCUGUGAAAAAUUUCCGAAAUUUUACUUUUAACAUGUUGUGUUGUGGGAGAUUUCAGAUGAGUAACCGAUGGAGCCGAACAAUCUACGUGGGGAAUUUGCCUGGAGACAUUCGCAUGAGAGAAGUUGAAGAUCUCUUCUACAAGUAUGGACCCAUUGUUGACAUUGAUUUGAAGAUUCCGCCAAGGCCUCCUGGUUAUGCUUUUGUUGAGUUUGAAGAUCCUCGCGAUGCUGAAGAUGCUAUUCGGGGACGGGAUGGGUAUAAUUUUGAUGGGUGUCGGUUGCGGGUUGAACUUGCUCAUGGUGGUCGAAGAGGUUCAUCUUCAGUGGAUAGAUACAACAGUUACAGUGGUAGCCAUGCACCCUCGAGGCGGUCAGAGUAUCGUGUUCUUGUAACGGGAUUACCGUCGUCUGCUUCAUGGCAGGAUCUUAAGGAUCACAUGCGCAAAGCUGGCUUUGUUUGCUUUUCUGAAGUUUUCCGUGAGCGAGGAGGCAUGACAGGGGUAGUGGAUUAUACCAACUAUGAUGAUAUGAAAUAUGCGAUCAGGAAACUUGAUGACUCUGAAUUUCGGAAUGCUUUCUCUCGAGCUUAUAUACGGGUUAGAGAGUAUGACUCAAGAAGUGCGAGCCGUAGCCCAUAUUAUUCUCGAAGCAGAAGCAGGAGUCGAAGCCGAGGCCGAAGAUAUAGCCGGAGUCAAAGCCGUGGUCGAAGCUAUAGUAGCAGGAGCAGGAGCAGGAGCAGGAGUGCAUCUCCUGCAAAAUCUGCUUCCCCUCGUUCCUGUUCACCGGCACGCUCUGUCUCGAGAUCUGGCUCUCUGCGGCGAGCUGGGGAUUGGAUCUUAGGGACUUCAUGGGUCAUCUAGAUGGAUUCUUGGAUUGGAUUAACAAAGCUGGAUUAUCAUGAACUUUAGCUUCUCUUUUGGGUCUGGUGUCCAGCACGUAUCAGCUAUAGGAUCGGAUCACAGACUGUUUGGAUAUCGUUCUAUGAAAUACUAUGUUUUCCACUGUGCCUGGAGUCUUUUGGGUUCCUCCGCCCUGGGUCUGGAGUUAAGCGCUCAUGACCUGGUUGAAAAGCCAACUGUGUGGUGAAGGCAUAGUCAUGAAGUUUCCUGGUUUUUGCAGGUCCAUAUCAAGAUCGAGAUCAAAGUCUCCAGUAUCACCGCCUCGGGAGAAAGAUCGAAGCCCAUCGAGGAGUCGCAGUGUGUCCCGCUCCCCUCGCCGU